CCUGUUGUCCUACCGAUAGUAGUCUACUCUCUUGAUCAAGCAUUGGAGUAAUUCUUUGUUUGAAGCUAUCAGGGCAAUGUACCCGGCUGCUACAUAUUAAUUGUCAUAAACAGGUUCAUAAUCAAGGUUCAAAUGGUAAAAGCGGUUUCAAUAAAAUGAAAUUUAAAGAG
rfam:Candidatus Midichloria mitochondrii IricVA, complete genome.